UNGGAGAGGAAAGUGGAAUUCCUAGUGUAGCGGUGAAAUGCGUAGAUAUUAGGAAGAACACCAGUGGCGAAGGCGACUUUCUGGACGAAAACUGACGCUGAGGCGCGAAAGCCAGGGGAGCGAACGGGAUUGGAUACCCCGGUAGUCCUGGCCGUAAACGAUGGGUACUAGGUGUAGGAGGUAUCGACCCNUUCUGUGCCGGAGUUAACGCAAUAAGUACCCCGCCUGGGGAGUACGACCGCAAGGUUGAAACUCAAAGGAAUUGACGGGGGCCCGCACAAGCGGUGGAGUAUGUGGUUUAAUUCGACGCAACGCGAAGAACCUUACCAGGUCUUGACAUUGAUGGACAGAACCAGAGAUGGUUCCUCUUCUUCGGAAGCCAGAAAACGGGUGGUGCACGGUUGUCGUCAGCUCGUGUCGUGAGAUGUUGGGUUAAGUCCCGCAACGAGCGCAACCCCUAUCUUAUGUUGCCAGCACUUUGGGUGGGGACUCAUGAGAGACUGCCGCAGACAAUGCGGAGGAAGGCGGGGAUGACGUCAAAUCAUCAUGCCCCUUAUGACCUGGGCUACACACGUACUACAAUGGGAGUUAAUAGACGGAAGCGAGAUCGCGAGAUGGAGCAAACCCGAGAAACACUCUCUCAGUUCGGAUCGUAGGCUGCAACUCGCCUACGUGAAGUCGGAAUCGCUAGUAAUCGCAGGUCAGCAUACUGCGGUGAAUACGUUCCCGGGCCUUGUACACACCGC
rnacentral:rRNA from 1 species